rnacentral:rRNA from 1 species
UCAAGCGACCAAGCGCGCAUGGUGGAUGCCUAGGUGGUAAGAGGCGAUGAAGGACGUUGUAGCCUGCGAUAAGCCUCGGGGAGCCGGCAAACAGGCUUUGAUCCGAGGAUUUCCGAAUGGGGAAACCCAGCCCUUCGGGGUUAUCACACACUGAAUACAUAGGUGUGUGAGGCGAACCUGGUGAACUGAAAUAUCUAAGUAACCAGAGGAAAAGAAAUCAACCGAGAUUCCCUGAGUAGCGACGAGCGAACGGGGAACAGCCCUUAAGUCGUGGUGUGGUUAGUGGAACGGUCUGGAAAGUCCGGUCAUAGAGGGUGAUAACCCCGUACACGAAAACCUAUCCGCGAUGAAAUCGAGUAGGGCGGGACACGUGAAAUCCUGUCUGAACAUGGGGGGACCAUCCUCCAAGGCUAAAUACUCCUUACCGACCGAUAGUGAACCAGUACCGUGAGGGAAAGGCGAAAAGAACCCCUGUUAGGGGAGUGAAAUAGAACCUGAAACCGUGUGCGUACAAGCAGUGGGAGCACAGGCUUUAAGCCGGUGUGACUGCGUACCUUUUGUAUAAUGGGUCAGCGACUUACAUCUCAGUGGCAAGCUUAACCAUUUAGGGGAGGCGUAGCGAAAGCGAGUCUUAAUAGGGCGUCUUAGUCGCUGGGAGUAGACCCGAAACCGGACGAUCUAGCCAUGGCCAGGUUGAAGGUCGGGUAAUACCGACUGGAGGACCGAACCAACUGACGUUGAAAAGUCAGUGGAUGAGCUGUGGCUAGGAGUGAAAGGCUAAUCAAGUCCGGAGAUAGCUGGUUCUCCCCGAAAACUAUUUAGGUAGUGCCUCGUGUCUCACUUCUGGGGGUAGAGCACUGUUAUGGCUAGGGCCACGUCUAGUGGUACCAAACCAUUGCAAACUCCGAAUACCAGAAAGUGCAAUCACGGGAGACAGACGGCGGGAGAUAAGUUUCGUCGUCGAAAGGGAAACAGCCCAGACCGCCAGCUAAGGUCCCCAAAUCACAGCUCAGUGGGAAACGAUGUGGGAAGGCCCAGACAGCCAGGAGGUUGGCUUAGAAGCAGCCACCCUUUAAAGAAAGCGUAAUAGCUCACUGGUCAAGUCGGCCUGCGCGGAAGAUGUACCGGGGCUAAGCUGUGUACCGAAGCUGCGGAUGCAAGCUUGCUUGCAUGGUAGGGGAGCGUUCUGUAAGCCAAUGAAGGUGUGCCGUGAGGCAUGCUGGAGGUAUCAGAAGUGCGAAUGCUGACGUGAGUAACGAUAAAGGGGGUGAAAAGCCCCCUCGCCGAAAGUCCAAGGUUUCCUGCGCAACGUUAAUCGGCGCAGGGUUAGUCGGCCCCUAAGGCGAGGUCGAAAGGCGUAGUCGAUGGGAAACAGGUUAACAUUCCUGUACCGCAUGUAACUGCGAUGGGGUGACGGAGAAGGUUAGACCAUCCGGGCGUUGGUUGUCCCGGUUUAAGCGUGUAGGGAGUGCUCUUAGGUAAAUCCGGGAGCACAAUUCUGAGACGUGAUGACGAGAUUUCAUUUGAAAUUGAAGUGGUUGAUGCCAUGCUUCCAGGAAAAACCUCUAAGCUUCAGGUUACAUGUGUCCGUACCCUAAACCGACACAGGUGGACAGGGCGAGUAGCCCAAGGCGCUUGAGACAACUCGGGUGAAGGAACUCGGCAAAAUGACACCGUAACUUCGGGAGAAGGUGUGCCCCUGGUACGUGAAAGCCCUGCGGCUGGAGCGAAAGGGGGUUGCAACAAAGAGGUGGCUGCGACUGUUUAUUAAAAACAUAGCACUCUGCAAACUCGCAAGAGGACGUAUAGGGUGUGACGCCUGCCCGGUGCCGGAAGGUUAAUUGAUGGGGUUAGUCUUCGGACGAAGCUCUUGAUCGAAGCCCCGGUGAACGGCGGCCGUAACUAUAACGGUCCUAAGGUAGCGAAAUUCCUUGUCGGGUAAGUUCCGACCUGCACGAAUGG